rnacentral:rRNA from 1 species
AUUGAACGCUGGCGGCAUGCCUUACACAUGCAAGUCGAACGGCAGCACGGGGCAACCUGGUGGCGAGUGGUCAACGGGUGAGUAAUGCAUCGGAACGUGCCAUUGAGUGGGGGAUAACGUAGCGAAAGUUGCGCUAAUACCGCAUAUUCUGUGAGCAGGAAAGCAGGGGACCGCAAGGCCUUGCGCUCUUUGAGCGGCCGAUGUCGGAUUAGCUAGUUGGUGAGGUAACGGCUUACCAAGGCGACGAUCUGUAGCGGGUCUGAGAGGAUGAUCCGCCACACUGGAACUGAGACACGGUCCAGACUCCUACGGGAGGCAGCAGUGGGGAAUUUUGGACAAUGGGCGCAAGCCUGAUCCAGCCAUGCCGCGUGAGUGAAGAAGGCCUUCGGGUUGUAAAGCUCUUUCGGCCGGGAAGAAAUCGCAUGGGCCAAUACCCUGUGUGGAUGACGGUACCGGAAUAAGAAGCACCGGCUAACUACGUGCCAGCAGCCGCGGUAAUACGUAGGGUGCGAGCGUUAAUCGGAAUUACUGGGCGUAAAGCGUGCGCAGGCGGUUUUGUAAGACAGGCGUGAAAUCCCCG